rnacentral:rRNA from 1 species
GCUCAGGAUGAACGCUGGCGGCGUGCUUAACACAUGCAAGUCGAACGAAGCACUUUAUUUGAUUUCCUUCGGGACUGAUUAUUUUGUGACUGAGUGGCGGACGGGCGAGUAACGCGUGGGUAACCUGCCUUGUACAGGGGGAUAACAGUUGGAAACGGCUGCUAAUACCGCAUAAGCGCACAGUAUCGCAUGAUGCAGUGUGAAAAACUCCGGUGGUAUAAGAUGGACCCGCGUUGGAUUAGCUAGUUGGUGAGGUAACGGCCCACCAAGGCGACGAUCCAUAGCCGACCUGAGAGGGUGACCGGCCACAUUGGGACUGAGACACGGCCCAAACUCCUACGGGAGGCAGCAGUA